UGAUGUCUUCUGGUCUCUUGCAGACUCAUGGUGACAGACUGCGACCUUUGGCCUAUUUUUCAACGAAACUUGAUGCUGUAGCUGCAGGACUUCCACACUGCCUGAGAGCAGCGGCAGCGGCCGAGCUGGCUGUGAUGGCCUCGAGAGAAUUUAAGCUACUCUGAUUUGACUUCAAUGGUUCCACACGCAGUAUCCAUGAUUUUGCAAGAGCAGAGAACGUCACAUUUGUCUACAGCCCGAUGGCUGAGGUAUCAUACAAUUUUGUUGGACAUGCCAAACAUAACUGUAAAAUGAUGCACAACUUUGAAUCCUGCUACCCUUCUGCCCACACAGGAGGAUGGCGAGGAAAAUCACUGUUGUCUGUCAGUGCUCGAAAAGGUGUGCACACCACAUCCAGACCUUUUAGACAUACCGCUUGAUAAUUGUGACAAUGUCCUGUUUGUGGAUGGGUCUGCCUCGAAAAAUCCACAAACAGGUCAAAAUAAAGUGGAUUAUGCUGUAACGACCGAAUUUGAAACUCUGAUGUCUGACAAAUUACACUAUUCUGCACAGUCAGCGGAACUGGUUGCAUUGACCGAAGCGUGUAAACUGACUUGCGAUACGCUUUCGGGGUCACACAUGACUUUAGUGCUUUGUGGAAGCACAGAAAAU